ACAAAAAGCAACAAAAACAAUCCUUUCCUUGUUCUCUAGGAAGUGCAGAUAGAAUCCAAAAACCAUCUACUUUCCAGCUAAUUCCUGGCUUGCUGCAGAAUGAUUUUUAAGGCAGCUCAAGAAUUGGCUUCAAUUGGAAUCUCUAUGCUUCUCUUCAUCAGGUACUAUCUGAAAAGAGGUGAGCACCAGAAAAGACUGAGCAUGUACCUGCCUACUUGCUACCAUCCAGGGAAAUAGCACAAUUCAGCCUGUCUGUUUUAGUGAAACACUUGGACACUGUAGGAAGCAACAAGGUCUCCCCUGAGCCUUCUCUUCUCCAGACUGAAGAAUCCCAGUUCUUUCAACUGCUCACCAUAAGACUUGUGCUCCAGAC
ensembl:lncRNA